rnacentral:rRNA from 1 species
AUUGAACGCUGGCGGCAGGCCUAACACAUGCAAGUCGAACGAGUGGCGGACGGGUGAGUAAUGUCUGGGAAACUGCCCGAUGGAGGGGGAUAACUACUGGAAACGGUAGCUAAUACCGCAUACCAUCGGAUGUGCCCAGAUGGGAUUUGCUAGUAGGUGGGGUAAUGGCUCACCUAGGCGACGAUCCCUAGCUGGUCUGAGAGGAUGACAAGCCACACUGGAAAUGAGACACGGUCCAGACUCCUACGGGAGGCAGCAGUGGGGAAUAUGGCACAAUGGGCGCAAGCCUGAUGCAGCCAUGCCGCGUGUAUGAAGAAGGCCUUCGGGUUUUAAAGUACUUGCAGCGAGGAGGCGGUACUCACAGAAGAAGCACCGGCUAACUCCGUGCCAGCCGCCGCGGUAAUAC